AUUGAACGCUGGCGGCAUGCUUUACACAUGCAAGUCGAACGGCAGCACAGGGAGCUUGCUCCUGGGUGGCGAGUGGCGAACGGGUGAGUAAUGUAUCGGAACGUGCCUGGUAGUGGGGGAUAACUACUCGAAAGAGUGGCUAAUACCGCAUGAGAUCUUUGGAUGAAAGCGGGGGACCUUCGGGCCUCGUGCUACUGGAGCGGCCGAUAUCAGAUUAGGUUGUUGGUGGGGUAAAGGCCUACCAAGCCUGCGAUCUGUAGCUGGUCUGAGAGGACGACCAGCCACACUGGGACUGAGACACGGCCCAGACUCCUAGGGGAGGCAGAAGUGGGGAAUUUUGGACAAUGGGCGCAAGCCUGAUCCAGCAAUGCCGCGUGCAGGACGAAGGCCUUCGGGUUGUAAACUGCUUUUGUACAGAACGAAAAGUCUCUGGCUAAUAUGUAGAGAUAAUGACGGUACUGGAAGAAUAAGCACCGGCUAACUACGUG
rnacentral:rRNA from 1 species